UCUGAUUUUUAAUUCGACGGAAUUUUGACAUUUCAGAAGUGUUUCCAACAUUGAAACAUUCCCACUAAGGAUGGAGAGCAUUUUCACAAAUUAAAAAAUAAUCCUUUCUUGAAUUUAAGGUUUCACUUAAAAAACUAAGGCUUAAAAAUGUACUGAUCAUUUCAAAAUGGUUAUUUGAAUUUUUAUUAUCAUAUUUUAGAAGUUACAAAAAAAAUUGGGAAAUUAUUUUUCUAUUACUGGACUCCCUGGCCAAUAAUCCAUGGGUUACAAACCUUUUUUAUGAAAAUCCUUUUGUUAAUAAAAUCUUAGCUUCAUAAAAUAAUCCAUUUAACAAGAUGCCAAUUUUAUAAUCCAAGUUGAUUAUGAUGACGAUAAUGAUGAUUGAUGAUCAAUACAUAUUUUCGUUUAUGUUAAUAUGUUGUUUUACUGUGUUAAAAACACGUUUUUUUCUAUUUAAUCUCUAAAAUGUACAUAAUAAUUAGUGUACAUUGAAUUCACGAAACAAACAAUAGUUCAUUCUUGUAAGUUGUAGUUGAUGAAAUUUCAUUUCAAAUUAUUUAUUAAUAAUUCAAAGCAAAAAAGGCUUAUUACAUCUGAAUUGUCAAAAAAUGACAGCUGUCAGAAUUCCGUCGAAUUAAAAAUCGGACUAUAGGUAUGCAAAAUCACUUGAAACCUAUGUUACAGUUAAGCUUUUACAUUUACAAAUACAUUAGUUUUUAUUUCAUUCAAAAAUACCCAGUAGUUAUGAUUUUAUAGGCAUUCAAAGUUCGCUUAAAUAAUGAGUCCCGCCGACGGUCACGUGACCCCGUGUGACGUACAUUCACAGCGUCCGCUCACUAGAAAACGGAUAUAAACAUACUUAAAUAAUUUUUUUUUGUAAAUACAAACUUAUUAUACAUAUUAACACCCAGACCCAUCACAGAAAUUAAAAUUGAACCAAACCCAAACUU